ACAAGUAUUGAAGGUGAUGCCUGCCCGGUGACCUUUAGGUUUAACGGCCGCGGUAUCCUAACCGUGCAAAGGUAGCGCAAUCAAUUGUCCCAUAAAUCGAGACUUGUAUGAAUGGCUAAACGAGGUCUUAACUGUCUCUUACAGGCAAUCGGUGAAAUUGAUCUCCCUGUGCAAAAGCAGGGAUAACUACAUAAGACGAGAAGACCCUGUGGAACUUCAAAACCAGCAGCCACCCCAAAACACAUACACCCCCACUGGGCUCACUGACAUACUGGGAGACUGGCCUGCGUUUUUCGGUUGGGGCGACCUUGGAGAAAAACAAAUCCUCCAAAAAUUGGACCAUCCAUCCAGACUAAGAGCAACUCCUCAAAGUGCUAAUAGUAUCCAGACCCAAUAUAAUUGAUCAAUGGACCAAGCUACCCCAGGGAUAACAGCGCAAUCCCCUCCGAGAGUCCGUAUCGACGAGGGGGUUUACAACCUCGAUGUUGGAUC
rnacentral:rRNA from 1 species